ACUCCUACGGGAGGCAGCAGUGGGGAAUAUUGGACAAUGGGCGAAAGCCUGAUCCAGCAAUGCCGCGUGUGUGAAGAAGGCCUGCGGGUUGUAAAGCACUUUCAGUGGUGAGGAAGGGUAUUAGUAUAAUACACUAGUACAUUGACGUUAACCACAGAAGAAGCACCGGCUAACUCUGUGCCAGCAGCCGCGGUAAUACAGAGGGUGCAAGCGUUAAUCGGAAUUACUGGGCGUAAAGGGUGUGUAGGUUGGUUUGUAAGUAGGAUGUGAAAUCCCAGGGCUCAACCCUGCAGUUGCGUUCUAAACUACAAGUCUAGAGUACUGUAGAGGGUGGCGGAAUUUCCGGUGUAGCGGUGAAAUGCGUAGAGAUCGGAAGGAACACCAGUGGCGAAGGCGGCCGCCUGGACAGAUACUGACACUGAGACACGAAAGCGUGGGUAGCAAACAGGAUUAGAUACCCUGGUAGGUCAGU
rnacentral:rRNA from 1 species